rnacentral:misc_RNA from 1 species
UUUGGAUACUGCAGUGAAAAAAAAAAUAGAUUGCUUGUUUAUGAGUUUCUUCCCAACAACUCAUUGCUUUCUCAUUUGCAUGGAAAUGAAAAGCCGACACUUAAUUGGUCAAACAGAUGGAAUAUUGCUUUAGGCAUUGCAGAAGGAUUAGCACAUUUACAUGACCAAUGUGAGUAUUUACCGUUCGUUGAAUUUCAUUGGUAUCUUGAAUUUCAUUUCAUACUUCUUUUAUGAUAUUUAUUUAUGUUUUUAGGUAAGCCCAAAGUUAGCCAUCGAGAUAUUAAGAGUGCUAAUAUUCUUCUUGAUGAUAAAUUUGUACCAAAGGUAAUACGUUAUUAUUAAUUAGCCAUUAAUUGCUCGGCGGCCACCAAAUAAAAAAAGGCCCUUAAAUAGUUAUCACAUUGAAAUCUUGCCUUACAAGUAGUAAAGUUACAAUUUUAAAAACAAUAAUGUGUUAUAAUUUUCAGUUUGGAACAGAAAAUUAUGUAAAUUAUUUAUUUAACUUCUAGUCUUUCUUAUCAGAUUGCAGAUUUUGGAAUUGCCAAAGAAUUUUUGAUUUCUGAUUCUCACACUUAUUCUGAGCCAAGGGCAUCUUAUUUGUAAGAUUCAUUCUGUUUGUUGCAUAAGCAUGUACAAUUACCUCCCUUUAUUUUCACGUUCUCAAAGAACAUUCAUAAGAUAAUUAGAUAGGUUUUUCUUAUGACAAUUUCUCUCUAACUACAGUUAUGAACCUCCUGAGUAUUACAAAGUUGGUCCAGAAAGAAGGAAGCUAACUGCCAAGUCUGAUGUCUUUUCCUUUGGUGUUGUUCUUUUGGAAUUAAUUACUGGGAAAUUUGCCCAUCUUGGAAACAAUGUUUACUUAGUUAAUUGGGUAAGUACUUAUUCUCAAUCACAAUGCACUGCACAUGGGUGUUGCCUAUAUUAUUGGUUUUGCUUGCUAAAAUUUGAUUUAGGUAAGUUAUUUUUUCUCCUAGAUCUUAAUUACUAAUCGGCGGAUUGUUUACAUAAUAUUAUUUGAUUUUCUUAACAUUUUGGUUCCUUUAUUCAAAUCAUUGCAUCUGUUGUUACGGUGAAAAAAAAAAAAGAAUAUUCAAUUAAAGCCUGAAAUUGCCCUCUUGCAAUCAUAGUAAGUAAAAAAUAAUAUUGCCAUCUUAAUGUUUCAAAAAAUAUAAUUUUAAAAAAUAGAAAUUAUUUUUUUUUAUAACUAAUGGAAUACUCAAGUAACCUUUAUGCAUCCAUUCAGAUUCUCAUUCACUUUAUUUAUUUAUAUCUUUUAAAUUUCAGGUAGUUCCUCGACUCAAACAAGUUUUGGACACAGACAUACUAUAUUUGGAUUCAGAAAAUUAUAACAAUCUUGUUGAUUCCAAAUUGCAAAAAAAUUAUGAUAUAACACAAAUGAAUCGAAUGAUUUGUUGUGCUGCAGCUUGUGUAUAUAAACCUCCAGAAUCACGUCCUAAAAUAAGUGAGGUAAGUACACAAUAUCAUAUAUGAUAAAUUUAUAUGCUAAUUAAUCAGUAUCAGUGAUUGCUUGUUUUGUGAUACAGGUAGUUGAAGUACUAAAAGAAGACAAAGAACCCAAGAAUAUAUGGCUCGAAAAUGACACCCAGUACCUGCAUACGCUUAACUACCCGAGGAGGCCAUAGAAUACUCUCUAAGUCUUAACAGUUAAUUCUACCCAAUUCACCAAGUUGUCAAUUAACCUCUUCUAAGAAAAUGCUUGUUUUUUACUCUAGUUUAUUUUUGUGAGCUAGUAUUGGCAUCCCUAUUUAGUACAAGUUUGUUGCACAAUUUAGUUUGUGGUAUUACAUAUAAAUUGGUAUUCGUUAAUUGAGUUUGUUGUACUGUUCCUUGGAAUUUUAUUCAGUUUGCAAAUGUUUCUCCAUUUUGGUUAUUUGCAUCCCUAUCUGCUGAUGUUUCUCUUAAACUGCUAACUGAAGGCCUACUUUGCAGCUCCUUUUUGUUCUCUCCUAGUUGUUCUCUUUUUUUCCUUUGCUGUCAAACUCUGCAGUUUUGUUCUCUAACCAGGUGUUUUUUCACUUAGCAUAAUAUUAUCUAGAUUGAACGUAUGGAGAUGACUUGGUUUUAAAUGGCUUUAUUUAUGUUAGUUUUUU